GAAGCUCUUGAUCGAAGCCCCAGUAAACGGCGGCCGUAACUAUAACGGUCCUAAGGUAGCGAAAUUCCUUGUCGGGUAAGUUCCGACCUGCACGAAUGGCGUAACGACAGCGGCGCUGUCUCCACCCGAGACUCAGUGAAAUUGAAAUCGCUGUGAAGAUGCAGCGUUCCCGUGGCAAGACGGAAAGACCCCGUGAACCUUUACUAUAGCUUUACACUGAACGUUGAGUUCGUCUGUGUAGGAUAGGUGGGAGGCUAUGAAACUGUGGCGCUAGCUGCAGCGGAGCCAUCCUUGAAAUACCACCCUGUCGUGCUUGACGUUCUAACCUGGGCCCAUUAUCUGGGUCGGGGACCGUGUAUGGUGGGUAGUUUGACUGGGGCGGUCUCCUCCUAAAGAGUAACGGAGGAGCUCGAAGGUACGCUCAGCGCGGUCGGACAUCGCGCACUGUGUGCAAAGGCAUAAGCGUGCUUGACUGCAAGAUCGACGGAUCAAGCAGGUAGGAAACUAGGACUUAGUGAUCCGGUGGUUCUGUAUGGAAGGGCCAUCGCUCAACGGAUAAAAGGUACUCCGGGGAUAACAGGCUGAUACCGCCCAAGAGUUCAUAUCGACGGCGGUGUUUGGCACCUCGAUGUCGGCUCAUCACAUCCUGGGGCUGUAGUCGGUCCCAAGGGUAUGGCUGUUCGCCAUUUAAAGUGGUACGCGAGCUGGGUUCAGAACGUCGUGAGACAGUUCGGUCCCUAUCUGCCAUGGGCGUUGGAGAUUUGAGAGGGGCUGCUCCUAGUACGAGAGGACCGGAGUGGACGAACCUCUGGUGUUCCGGUUGUCACGCCAGUGGCAUUGCCGGGUAGCUAUGUUCGGAAGCGAUAACCGCUGAAAGCAUCUAAGCGGGAAGCGCGCCUCAAGAUGAGAUCUCCCGGGGCACAAGCCCCCUGAAGGAACCAUGUAGACUACGUGGUUGAUAGGUCAGGUGUGUAAGUACAGCAAUGUAUUGAGCUAACUGAUACUAAUGAUCCGUGCGGCUUGACCAUAUAACCUCA
rnacentral:rRNA from 1 species